rnacentral:rRNA from 1 species
GUGGGGAAUAUUGGACAAUGGGCGAAAGCCUGAUCCAGCCAUGCCGCGUGAGUGAUGAAGGCCUUAGGGUUGUAAAGCUCUUUUGUCCGGGAAGAUAAUGACUGUACCGGAAGAAUAAGCCCCGGCUAACUUCGUGCCAGCAGCCGCGGUAAUACGAAGGGGGCUAGCGUUGUUCGGAAUCACUGGGCGUAAAGCGCACGUAGGCGGACCAUUAAGUCAGGGGUGAAAGCCUGGAGCUCAACUCCAGAACUGCCUUUGAUACUGAUGGUCUCGAGUAUGGAAGAGGUUGGUGGAACUGCGAGUGUAGAGGUGAAAUUCGUAGAUAUUCGCAAGAACACCGGUGGCGAAGGCGGCCAACUGGUCCAUUACUGACGCUGAGGUGCGAAAGCGUGGGGAGCAAACAGGAUUAGAAACCCCAGUAGUCC